rnacentral:tRNA from 1 species
AGCGGGGUGGGGAAGCCAGGUUAUCCCGGCGGGCUCAUAACCCGCAGAGCGGUUUCUGUGCCUUUAAAGCCAGCCGUAAGUUCAAAUCAACCCCCCGCUA